UGGCCUAGUCUUUACGUCGUUUUUUGUCGCCACAUUGUGCUGUGGGUGAGCGCACAGACCGCGUGCAAUUUGUGCACAAAGCCGCCAGCCUGUUGAGCUCUGCUUGAGCAGCCUUUACGGACCACCUGCAAUGACUCCUGCAAAUGAUUCGAUUUAACAGUGAUGAAAAAUGACUUGGGGCGGGGUUUAAGGUCGUUUUGAGCUCCUCAUCAUACCGGGUUCUACUGUACAUACCAUGAUGGAGAUCUUGAAAGUAUUGCUGUGCCAAAAUACGUGAAACUGGUCUAAAAGUGGAUGUAGACACUUGUUUCACGGUUCUUUUGUCAAGUGGGAAAGAUGGACCCUAGUGCAUCCUGUGAUCUGAUCAUUUGGGCCCAUUUGCUGCUGGCUGUGGCUUCCUCUUCCUCCUCCUCUUCAUCCCCAUAUGCCACUGCAAUCACAAUGAUUUCCACUGAGAAAGAGGGAAAGAAGAUGGUGCAACGUUGUCUCUUUGCUAUGAACCAUUCAAUUGAUUAUAUUUGAUACACUUUAACUGUAACACCAUGUAUCUAGUUGAAAUAGCCUAAUUCUCACUCUCUUCAUUUCAUCAACAUACUGGCUUUAUGAAUAUGAUUCAUGUCAUUACUCUAAUAAAUGGAGAUGUAUUGAUUAAAACUAAGUUUAUAA